rnacentral:rRNA from 1 species
UGGGGAAUAUUGGACAAUGGGCGAAAGCCUGAUCCAGCCAUGCCGCGUGUGUGAAGAAGGUCUUCGGAUUGUAAAGCACUUUAAGUUGGGAGGAAGGGCAGUAAGCGAAUACCUUGCUGUUUUGACGUUACCGACAGAAUAAGCACCGGCCAACUCUGUGCCAGCAGCCGCGGUAAUACAGAGGGUGCAAGCGUUAAUCGGAAUUACUGGGCGUAAAGCGCGCGUAGGUGGUUCGUUAAGUUGAAUGUGAAAGCCCCGGGCUCGACCUGGGAACUGCAUCCAAUACUGGCGAGCUAGAGUAGGGCAGAGGGUGGUGGAAUUUCCUGUGUGGCGGUGAAAGGCGUAGUUAUAGGAAGGAACACCAGUGGCGAAGGCGACCACCUGGGCUCAUACUGACGCUGAGGUGCGAAAGCGUGGGGGGCAAACAGG